rnacentral:misc_RNA from 1 species
UUAUAUUAUUGAAAAAAUAUAAAUCAGAAGCAAGCAGGUAGAUUUAUGGAUAUUCUUAUGUUCUGUUCUGUUAUCAAAAUUUACCAUCGUAAUGGUGAAUUAAAGCUGAUGCAAUUAGGUAAAUUUGCUGAUCUUGGGCAAGGUAUUAUAAUUACGUUGUGGUUUGCUAGAUUCAUAUGUUCAAUCAAUACUUACUAGUUUGGUGGUAAAUUUUUGGUUAGUGUCUAGGGACUGUUCUGUUGACAUUGUGUUAUAAAUGCAG